CCUAGUUUUAUCUAGCCUGGUAUGCCCGCACAUCCACCUAAGCAUCCUCAUCUCCGCGACGCUCAUCCUCUGAACAUGGGAAUUCUUUACGAGCCAGCACUCCGCCUCAUACAGCAUCGCAGGUCUAACCACGGCUCAAUAGAAUUUCCCCUUGAGUUUGUGUGGAACUUUCCUGUCACACAGGACUCCUGAUGCAAGCCUCCACUUAGCCCACNNNN
rnacentral:lncRNA from 1 species